rnacentral:rRNA from 1 species
AGUGAACGCUGGCGGUAGGCCCAACACAUGCAAGUCGAACGGCAGCACAGUAAGAGCUUGCUCUUACGGGUGGCGAGUGGCGGACGGGUGAGGAAUACAUCGGAAUCUACUUUUUCGUGGGGGAUAACGUAGGGAAACUUACGCUAAUACCGCAUACGACCUACGGGUGAAAGCAGGGGAUCUUCGGACCUUGCGCGAUUGAAUGAGCCGAUGUCGGAUUAGCUAGUUGGCGGGGUAAAGGCCCACCAAGGCGACGAUCCGUAGCUGGUCUGAGAGGAUGAUCAGCCACACUGGAACUGAGACACGGUCCAGACUCCUACGGGAGGCAGCAGUGGGGAAUAUUGGACAAUGGGCGCAAGCCUGAUCCAGCCAUACCGCGUGGGUGAAGAAGGCCUUCGGGUUGUAAAGCCCUUUUGUUGGGAAAGAAAAGCAGCAGGUUAAUACCCCGCUGUUCUGACGGUACCCAAAGAAUAAGCACCGGCUAACUCCGUG